AACGAACGCUGGCGGCAUGCCUAACACAUGCAAGUCGAACGAGACCUUCGGGUCUAGUGGCGCACGGGUGCGUAACGCGUGGGAACCUGCCCUUAGGUUCGGAAUAACUCCCCGAAAGGGGUGCUAAUACCGGAUAAUGUCUUCGGACCAAAGAUUUAUCGCCUUUGGAUGGACCCGCGUUGGAUUAGCUAGUUGGUAGAGUAAAAGCCUACCAAGGCGACGAUCCAUAGCUGGUCUGAGAGGAUGAUCAGCCACACUGGGACUGAGACACGGCCCAGACUCCUACGGGAGGCAGCAGUGGGGAAUAUUGGACAAUGGGCGAAAGCCUGAUCCAGCAAUGCCGCGUGAGUGAUGAAGGCCUUAGGGUUGUAAAGCUCUUUUACCCGGGAUGAUAAUGACAGUACCGGGAGAAUAAGCUCCGGCUAACUCCGUG
rnacentral:rRNA from 1 species